GUUAAAACACCCGCUCCUGUAAGAUCACGGAAGUUAAGCAACGUUGAGCUUGGUCUGUACCUAGUUGGCUGUCUACUAGGGAAUACCAGGUGCUGUAAG